AUUGAACGCUGGCGGAAUGCUUUACACAUGCAAGUCGAACGGCAGCACGGACUUCGGUCUGGCGGCGAGUGGCGAACGGGUGAGUAAUACAUCGGAACGUGCCCAGUCGUGGGGGAUAACGUAGCGAAAGCUACGCUAAUACCGCAUACGAUCUAAGGAUGAAAGCGGGGGAUCGCAAGACCUCGCGCGAUUGGAGCGGCCGAUGGCAGAUUAGGUAGUUGGUAGGGUAAAGGCCUACCAAGCCGACGAUCUGUAGCUGGUCUGAGAGGAUGAUCAGGCACACUGGGACUGAGACACGGCCCAGACUCCUACGGGAGGCAGCAGUGGGGAAUUUUGGACAAUGGGCGCAAGCCUGAUCCAUCCAUUCCGCGUGCAGGAUGAAGGCCUUCGGGUUGUAAACUGCUUUUGUACAGAACGAAAAGGCUCUGGUUAAUACCCGGGGCUCAUGACGGUACUGUAAGAAUAAGCACCGGCUAACUACGUGCCAGCCGCCGCCGUAA
rnacentral:rRNA from 1 species